rnacentral:rRNA from 1 species
UACGUAGGGGGCGAGCGUUGUCCGGAAUCAUUGGGCGUAAAGCGCUCGCAGGUGGUUCAUUGCGUCGUGCGUGAAAGACCCCGGCUCAACUGGGGAGGGUCGUGCGAAACGGGUGAACUAGAGGCCAGUAGGGGGAUGCGGAAUCCCGGGUGUAGUGGUGGAAUGCGUAGAGAUCCGGAGGAACACCAGCGGCGAAGGCGGCAUCCUGGACUAGUCCUGACACUCAGGAGCGAAAGCGUGGGGAGCGAUCCGG